AAAAGAAAUGUCCUAGGGGAUGGCAACAGAAAAAUAUUAAAAACAGAGCAGGUGUUCAAGAAGACAAUUUGAAUGCAUAAGUUUAACUCACACUGUUUAAAAAAAUCACAUGUAAAGAUGUCAACAUCACUAAAUGUGAGAGAAAUGCAAAUCAAAACUUCAAGGAGGUGUAACCUCACACCAGCCAGAAUGGCCAUAGAUGGAAACUCUACAAGCAAUAAAUGCUGCGAGGCUGUAGAGCAAAGGGAACCCUCCUACACUGAUGCUGGGAAUGGAAAUUGGGAGCAGCCACUGUGGAGGACCCUGGGCAGGUUCCUUAGCAAUGAAAAUGAGAAUGAAAUUCGGAUGCUUCCUAACACCAUACACAAAAAUAAAUUCCAAAUAUAUUAAAGAUGCAACUCUCGAGGAAAAGAGCACAUGCCUUAACAUAAAAUGCAGCAAGUUCUUUUUUGAUCCACCUUGUAGAAUCAUGAAAAUAAAACAAAAAUAAACAAAUGGGACCUAAUAAACAUUAAAAGCAUCUGCACAGCAAAGGAAACCAUCAGUGAAAGAAAAAGAUAACCCUCAGAAAGGAAAAAAAUUUCUUGCAAACAAAGAUACCUAUAGGGAGUUUCUCUUCAACACAUACAAACCACUAGCACAGCUCAAUAUCAAAAAACAAACAACCCAAUAAAAAAUCAGCCAAAGAAUAAAUGCACAUUUCUCCAAAGAAGUCAUAGAGAUGACAAUAAAGAACAUGAAAUGAUGCUCAGCAUCACUAGUUCUUAGAGAAAGGCAAAUCAAAUGUAUAAUGAGGUAUCCCCUCAGAUUGAUCAGAAUGGCCACAUUGGAAACUUUGCAACAGUAAAGUCUGCAGACGGUGUGGAGAAAAGGGAACUCUCCUACACUGUAGGUGGGAAUGUCAGUCAGCACACCACUAGGGAGAACAUUAUGAAGGUUCUUAAAAAACUAAACAUGGAAGUCACUGGGUACCCAGUGACCCAGCAAUCCCAUACCUAGGCGUAGAUCCAGAGGAAAGCAAAAUUUAAAAAGACACCUGCACCCAACGAUCAUGGCCGCACUAGGUACGAUAACCAAGCCACAGAAGCAACUUAAGUGUCCAAGGACCGAUGAGUGAAGACAGAAGAUGGGGUGCAUGCACACAGUGCAAUGCCACGCAGACAAGAAGGAGGACGAGUUAAUGCCGUUUCCAGUUAACAGGAAGCAACUAGAGAGAACCAUACUAAGUGAAGUGAGAUAGAGAAUGCCAAGUAUAGGAUAUUACUGCCUGUGGAAUCUAAACGUGGACACAAAUAAACUUCUUCACAAAAGAGAAACAGCCUCCUAGACUUGGAAAAGAAUCUCAAGUUUACCAAGAAAGAAAGGCGGAGGGACAGGGAGUAAUUACUUGGUUCAGAUCAGUAUAUACACCUUAAAACAGAUGCUAAAGGGCUCAUAAUAGUCAUAAGUCCGAGAGGGCUGUAAAUGACACCUGCCCUCAAGAAAUGUCCUGGGGUAAAUCAUUGGAAAAAAUUCUAAACAGGGCCAACUUUCAGGAAGCCAGAUUGAAGAGGUAAAUUGUUCUCACAAGAUGUAAAAUAAUAAUAAAAGCACAUGGAAAGAUAGUCCACAUCAGUAAUUAUUAAAUCAAUGCCAAACAAAACUACGAGGGAUCACUUCACACUGGUCACCAUGGCCAUCAUUGAAAAGAUCUACAAAGAAUAAUUACUGCAGAGAAUGUACAGGAAAUAAAAGCCUCCCACAGUCUUGGUGGAAAUGUAAAUGGUGAAGUCACGAUGGAAAACAGCACAGAGUUUCCUUGAAACACUGAAGAUAGAGGUAUCAUAUGAUCCUGCAAUCCCAGUCCUCAGCUUAGGUGCAGAGAAAAUCACCAUUCAAAAUGACACAUGCACCCUGAUUUUCAGGGCAGCACUAUUUACAAUAGCCAAGACACAGAAUCCAUGAAAAUGUCCGUUGACCAAAAAAUGAAGACUAUGUGGUACAUCUAUACACUGGAAUGCUACUCAGCCAUAAAACAGAAUGAAAUAAUGAUACUGGCAGCAGAUUGGAUAUACCAAGAAAUUAUUAUACUAUAAAUACUUUUCAGAGAGAAAAGGACAAAUAUCCUAAGAUAUCAUGUACAGGUGGAAUCUGUAAGUUCAUAUCAGUGAACUAAUUUACAAAAUAGACUCACAGACAGAAAAAUCAACUUAUGAUUAUCAAAGGAAAAUUAGAAGGGACAGAUAAAUCAAGAGUUUGGGAUGAAAAUAUACACACUAAUAUAUAUCAAGUUGAUAAUGAAAAAUGACCUACUGAAUAGAACUGGAGGCUCUACUGAAUAAACUAUAAUAACAUAUAUGAGGGGGCAAAAAGAAAAAGAAUAGAUAUACAUCUAUGAAUAUCUGAAUCAAGUUCAUGUGAAGAGGAAAAGUUAAAAUUUUACAUAACCUCCUGCUCCUUCUGCCUGUGUAACUCAGCUUGCUCCUUGCAAAGUCUGGAUCACGUAGGUCACGUAGUCUCAGAAAGUGGGGACUCACAACACAAGGAACUGGCGCUUAUCUCCCUCACCCAUGCCCUGCUCUUUGCAAUCGCCUAGCCUCUGCAAACCUGCUUAAUCAUGCCUGUCCGUGUAUAAAAACCCUGUAACCCUUUGUUUGGGGCCCAGAGCUUGGAGUGUUAACCCCUCCGGGCCCGACGGGGUAAUAAGCCUGAUUCUCCAGCUCUCGGAGUGUGGUGCUUCGUUUCUCAAGUACCAGUUUCUGCAACAUUUCUGGAGGGAGAUUCCAACCACGCCGGCCCCUUGAGCUGCUGGACUGGCGGCUCAGCCGCACCAGAGCGGAGGAGCCUGGAGACAAACAAGCAGGUGCGCCCCCGGACGGUAUUCCAGGUUCUCUUUUAGACUGGUGUUCUGACUCCAGACAGCUGAGCCCCGACCAGACACAUUGGAGGGAUGGACCACUCACCAGGGAUGGCCAUGGGAUCAGAAUGCAGAGCAGCGACCCACUCAAAGGUGCCUGACCUCAUGUGAAAAUGACAAUAUGAAGAGAAGAAUAAAGGACUGCAGGUAUUGUGAAAACACACCAGACGCUGGGCUGGAAGACGAGAGGCACGUCUGGUCUCUGCUGAGUACAGACGCUCUACUGGAAGGAGAUCACAGCAGCAACCUCACCUGCUGCCCAUUGGCCUUUUGCCUGAUCCAUGUGCUCUGCAAUCAAUUGCCCAGAUAAACCUGCUCCCUUCUUGCCAAGCUCGUGCUGCUGAAUUGGAAUAAUUACCAGGUAGCUCACCUGAGGAGUCUCCAGGAGCCCUAUGGACUGGGAAUUUUGCAGGGGUAAAGAGGGAAUAGGCACAGGCCUGUGUAAAAUGAUACUGUAAAGCAUUAAUUCCUAAACACAGGUCAAGUGAAGCUCACAUGUAUUCUUCCCUUUUUCUUGGCUUUGAGUGUAUGGUCUCCCUCUGCACAUGAUUCUGAUCCACACAGAUCGAGUGAGAUUCACACAGACCCCAGAUCCCCCUACCUGGGGUUACACAUUCCUUGGUCAGGACACCAUGGCUGUGAUCGGCAGGCCCCCAAAGUACAAACAAGCCAGAUCCAUGUAGUCAAAGCUACGGUUUUUCCAGAAGUCAUGUAUGGAUG